rnacentral:rRNA from 1 species
AUUGAACGCUGGCGGCAUGCCUUACACAUGCAAGUCGAACGGUAACAGGUCUUCGGAUGCUGACGAGUGGCGAACGGGUGAGUAAUACAUCGGAACGUGCCUAGUAGUGGGGGAUAACUACUCGAAAGAGUGGCUAAUACCGCAUGAGAUCUACGGAUGAAAGCAGGGGAUCGCAAGACCUUGUGCUACUAGAGCGGCCGAUGGCAGAUUAGGUAGUUGGUGGGAUAAAAGCUUACCAAGCCGACGAUCUGUAGCUGGGCUGAGAGGACGAUCAGCAACACUGGGACUGAGACACGGCCCAGACUCCUACGGGAGGCAGCAGUGGGGAAUUUUGGACAAUGGGCGAAAGCCUGAUCCAGCAAUGCCGCGUGCAGGAUGAAGGCCUUCGGGUUGUAAACUGCUUUUGUACGGAACGAAAAGCCCCGGGUUAAUACCCUGGGGUCAUGACGGUACCGUAAGAAUAAGCACCAGCUAACUACGUGCCAGCCGCCGCGGUAA